AUGUACGUAGACUCCCCUUUCAUUCAAGAAGUGGAGACAGCGUUGGACCAGGCCCGGGCUCUAGGCGCAGCCUCCGGCCCAGGCUGGAGGGUUCAGGGCGGAGGCCUGGGGGGACCCGGCCCCUCGCUGGCUCCCCUCGCGUCUGCAGCCGCAGGGCCGGAGGCAGCCACGGCGCUCAGCCGGAAUGGCAUGAUCUCGAAGCCCCAUUUCCACAAGGACUGCAGCGGCGCCUGGCCACGUGGUUCCACCAGCCGGCCCGGAUGACCCGCAGGCGCCAGGCGGGGCAAGCCAAGGCGCGCAGCCUCGCCCCGCCCCGCCCCGCCCGGAUCCGGCGCAACGUGCGCUGCUACCACGCGAAGGUGCGCACGGCCGCGGCUGCCGCCUGCAGGAGCUCAGGGUAGCCGGCAUGCACAAGAAGCUGGCCCGGACCACCGGCGUUUCUGUGGAUCGGAGGAGGCGGAGUCCCUGCAGGCCAACACGCAGCGGCUGAAGGAGCCCCGCUCCAAACUCAUCCGCUUCCCCAGGAAGCCCUCGGCGCCCAAGAAGGGAGACGGUUCUGCUGAAGAACUGAAACAGGCCACUCAGCUGAGAGGGCCGGUCAUGCCCGUCCCGAAUGCCUAUAAGGAGAAAGCUCGAGUCAUCACUGAGGAGGAGAAUGUCGAGGCCUUCGCUAAUCUCCGCCUGGCGCGUGCCAACGCCCGGCUCUUCGGCAUCCCGGCGAAAAGAGCCAAGGAAGCUGCAGAACAAGAUGUUGAAAAGAAAAAAUAAAGCCCUCCUGGGGACUUGCAAUCAGUCAGCAGUUAUGCUGGGUCUCCACGUGAUGUAUUUCCCGGGAGCAACUGGGCCUGGGAUGGGGCUUCCUGACUGUGACUUCCUGGCAGGGGGUUUGGGGUUUUCUUGAAAGACAGUCCAAGCCCUGGAUUAUGCCUUCCUUUCGUGUUAAAGCA